rnacentral:rRNA from 1 species
CCUACGGGGGGCUGCAGUGAGGAAUAUUGGUCUAUGGACGCAAGUCUGAACCAGCCAAGUAGCGUGCAGGAUGACGGCCCUCCGGGUUGUAAACUGCUUUUAGUUGGGAAUAAAAGGGGGCUCGUGAGCCCCGUAUUGUAUGUACCAUCAGAAAAAGGACCGGCUAAUUCCGUGCCAGCAGCCGCGGUAAUACGGAAGGUCCGGGCGUUAUCCGGAUUUAUUGGGUUUAAAGGGAGCGUAGGCCGGCUUUUAAGUCAGCUGUGAAAGUCCGGGGCUCAACCGUGGAAUAUCAGUUGAAACGGGAGGCAUUGAGUGCACACAGGGAUGACGGAAGUCAUGGUGUAGCGGGGAAAUGCUUAGAUAUCAUGAAGAACUCCGAUCGCGAAGGCAAGUGUCCGGGGUGCAACUGACGCUGAGGCUCGAAAGUGCGGGUAUCAAACAGGAUUAGAUACCCUAGUAGUC